ACUUAAGAUGUGUAUGUGCAGUAAAUAUGGACGUACAGCAACGUGUAGGAUAUAAGUGGGAGUGCAUGAGAUUUUACUUCCCAUAAUGAACCUUCAAACAUAG